AACGUAGGAGCCUAGCGUUAUCCGAAUUUACUGGGCGUAAAGCGCGUGCAGGCGGUUGGGUAAGUUGGCUGUGAAAUCUCCCGGCUCAACUGGGAGAGGCCGGUCAAGACUGCCCGACUGGAGGAUGGUAGAGGGAGGUGGAAUUCCGGGUGUAGUGGUGAAAUGCGUAGAUACUCGGAGGAACACCAGUGGCGAAAGCGGCCUCCUGGACCAUACCUGACGCUCAGACGCGAAAGCUAGGGGAGUGAACGGG
rnacentral:rRNA from 1 species